CAAUAGCGUAUAUCAAAGUUGUUGCAGUUAAAAAGCUCGUAGUUGGAUUUCUGGUGGGAGCGAUCGGUCUGGCGCUUAGCGCGAGUACUUGCAUCGUCUCCGGCCAUCCUUGGGGAGAGUCUGUCUGGCAUUAAGUUGUCGGGCAGAGGAUCCUCAUCGUUUACUGUGAAAAAAUUAGAGUGUUCAAAGCAGGCUUAUGCCGUUGAAUAUAUUAGCAUGGAAUAAUAAGAUAGGACUUUGGUACUAUUUUGUUGGUUUGCGCGCCAAAGUAAUGAUUAAUAGAGACAGUUGGGGGUAUUCGUAUUCCGUUGUCAGAGGUGAAAUUCUUGGAUUUACGGAAGACGAACUACUGCGAAAGCAUUUACCAAGGAUGUUUUCAUUAA
rnacentral:rRNA from 1 species